UCGUCGUUUCCCAUUCUCCACCACCAUCACCAUCCGCCGCCGCCGCCGCCGUGGCGCUCCAGGAAGAAGCGCAAGUCCGACCGAGAAUCACCGCCGGCGGGCCUCGAUCUCAUCAACGCCCUCCCCGACGCCGUCCUCUGCACCAUCAUCUCUCUCCUUCCCACCAAGGAAGGAGCCCGCACGCAGGCCGCUCCGCGCCCCUCAACCUCGUCGCCGACUUCUCCCUCUCCUGGAAGGAGCGCAAGCUCGUUGUUCUCAUCUCCAGGAUCCUCGCCGAGCACCCUGGCCCAGCCCUCCUCUUCGAGCUCCCCGACAUCCGCCAACGCCACCAUGACACGCUCGACGGCUGGCUUCGCUCCCAGGCCCUCACCGGUCUCCAGAUCCUCUACUUAGGGUACAGCGCCGAUGAUGACAAACACCGCAUGCUACCGCCGCCCGCGCUCCGCUUCGCGCCCACACUCCGCGUUGCCACAUUCCGCCGCUGCCAUUUCCCGGACCUGUCCGGGCGAAUUUUCCAUGCCUCGACAAGUAUGAGGUCACCAUCUCGGCCUUGUCGGCGCAUUCUCUGAAUUUCCCACACCUCAAGCAGCUCAGCAUAUGCGAGGUCACCAUCUCGGGGGACUCUCUGCGCAACAUGCUCUCUGGCUGCCAUUCAUUGGAAAGCCUUUUUCUGGAAGGCAUUCUCGGCGUUGCUCGUCUCUGCAUCAGCUCCGCGACUCUUAGGAGCAUCGGCUUCUCUGCAAUAAGGCGGAGGGUGUUGGGGUGGGAUUGUGAUUGGGAUUUCGCUGACCUUUUACAAGAGCUUGUCAUCGAGGACGCUCCUUGCCUUGAGAGGUUGCAGCCCCUCUAUCCAGGUUCUGGUCCAGAGACUGUCCGGGUAAUCCAAGCACCUAAGCUGCAAGUAUUAGGUGUGUUGUCGAGGCAAAUAUUCAAACUCUUCAUUGGAACCACGGUUUUUCAGAAAAUGAUUCCCAUCAGCGUGACAACCACAUGCCCACCGUGAAGGUUUUAGCUAUUGAAUAUGAUGGCCCUAAUCUUGAUACACUAAUUGGCCUGCUCAAGUGCUUCCCCUGCUUGGAGAGGCUGUAUGUCAUUUUUAACGCACGGUCGCGGAUGAAGAUUGAAAGUGUGCAAAAAUAUGGCCCACUAGAUCCAAUUGAAUGCCUCGAGAGCUAUCUCAAAAGAGUGGUGUUGGAGGGCUACUCUGGGGACAAGCCGAAUGUUGAAUUUGCUAAGUUUUUCGUUUUGAAUGCGAAGGUGCUAGAAGAAAUGAAAUUUGGAUCCAUUCACAGCCGCGACCGCGAAUGGAAGUCUAAUCAACACAUGUGGUUACUAGUGGACAGCAGAGCUUCUCGAGACGCUCGAUUCGAAUUCACAAGUCGUUAUUGUAGGCAUAAUGGCCUAGGUAACAGUCAUACACAUGACUUACCAAUGGCCAAUCCCUUCAAGUGCUUUGAUGCUGCAUGCAGAGUCGGCGCGGAAUGCCUAUUUUGUAAGUCAAAGUAAUCCUCCCCUUAUGAAUCUCUGUUCCGUUGUGCUUGAAUGUUACCCUACUUUAGUGAUCUAAAUGCUCUUAUAUUUCUUUACGGAAGGAGUAUUUAGUAUCUUUUCUGUUGAUGUGAUGUUGUAAGUUGUGAGCUGCUACACCAUCAGCUUGCUUCUGUACUGGCUUUAGAAGGCAGGGCCUCUAAUAUUUCAAAAGCUAUAUUUUCUGUUUCGUUAUGCUUGAAUGUUGGUAUUUGACUCGUUUUCCGUAUAUUUUGCAGUGGUUGUUUCUUUCCUGUGUGAUGUAACGUUGUAAUCUGUUUUUAUACUAGCAGCUACUAUGCUUCCGAAACCUGAAACAAUCUCUCUGCCUGCUCGAUGUUCAGACAAACACCAGAGAAAGUGGUGUGCCUCAUUUUGUAACAGGAGAAAGCGUCGAGGUGGCCAAAAACCAGAGAAAAUGAAAUGCAGAGAAGAAAGAGAGCACAACCAUAUUUCGAACUGCCUUUGCUUUCUCUAAGUUUGGGCACCCGUGUAGUAUGAACGCCUUUCUUAUUUUUCGAACUGCCUUUGCUCCACCAUCCUACAAUUCUCUUUUAGCAAGAAACUCAUAUUUGCUGUAAUAUGAACUUAAUGUCCGGAUGUUAUGAUCUAAUCUGGUCGUGCUUGGAAAGCAACGCCUUAAACUGUUAUUCUGAAAAACAGGUUGCUGAAGCUGUUUUAGUCUGAAACUGGUGGUCUGAAAAUUAGUUUGCUACGAAGUUUACUAAAGCCUCAGUUAGGACUUGUGUGAAACUGCAGUAGGACUUGUCUGGAUUUUCAUAAGUCAAAAAACUACACUGAACCUUCUAAUGGGAACUAUUGGUUUUGGUGCUCUGAUUCAGAUGAUUCAGUUCUUCAACUCAAUACUAUAUGCCGCUAGUGGAGAAGAUAAUGGGUUCAGUCUGCCCAGUUCAGCUUCAUAGAAAAGAUAAUGGUAUCUAUUUUCUAGCCUACUGUAAAUUGUUUCAAAUAACGUGUGGAAACAAUUCAGGUUGCAUACGACAGAAAAAUACAUUUUUUGAAGGUUUUGUACACCAUAUUUCUUUUUUAUCUUCUAAUUAUUAACUUGUGACACGUGAUGCCUAACUGCUUCACUGUUUCUUCUAAUUCAACCCACAGUAGAGAAGAGCUGCAGUACCUGGAUGUUGAUGCAGAGUAGAGAAGACCAGGGUCGGACUCCUGGCGGUCGCUCCACAGUUCACUUGUUCAGAGUGUCGCCGCCUUGGACACAACGGCAUGCGAAUUCAGAACUUUUUUGCACUGAGACACGGGUUCAGGAAUACCCAACAGCUGUUUUGUUUCUGCUGCCUAACCUGAUGUGGUGGUUCAGCACUUGGGUUUAGUUAUUCUGCUUAAAGUUUCAGUCCAGCAGCAGAAAAUGGGUUUGUGUUUGAAUGAGAGCGAGUUCUGAACAUGGCGAUGUUAAUGCACCCAGACACCAGAUGCCGGCGACAAAAUUCUACAGUACAUCGUGGCAGGCUGCUCCAGUGAUGACUGAUGAGGAUGGACACGCCCUUGGAAUUACAUGCUGGCAACAUCUACACAAGGGCUAUGUUCGAGAAAUUCGGGGAGAUUCUUUACAAGGCUGGUCAGUACAAGGUGGAGGAGGUGGAUAAAGGUGCAAAGUACCUCGUGCAUCGUUACCAUCCAGAGAAGCAUGACAAAUGGUGCAGGGUUGUGUAUGCCGUGGGAGUUGGCGAUAAUGGUAAGGAGAUUAUGUGCUAUUGGCAAUUUUGAGCAGGCGGGCACACUUGCAGCAGUCAGCAAGACCAGAUUUCAGCUAACUCCAUCACUUUUCGGCAAUCGAACCUGUCCUGUAUACACAUGCUAUAUAUGGAGGUUGUUAGACUUUGUGAUGCAAACACAAGAGCCUAUGAGGUGGCCAUGGACUCUUCAAGGCAGCAAUGCAGAAGCUCACGCCUGUAGCUGCUAUAUAUGUGUGACGGACGGUAUUGGUUUGGAAGACAGGGUUCGCGAGAGCAAGAUCAUGCGUAAACACUAGUAGAAAAGGGCCUAAUGUGACGCACAUUAGUUCCAGUUUGUAACUGAACCGGCAUUAAUGUGACAAUUAGUGUCGGUUCCAACGGCUAGGCGGGUGGAGCUCAUUAGUACCGGUUCGUGGUGUAUCGGUUCGUGCCAUGAACCGGUGCUAAAGAGGUUGUGGCGGGCUGGGGCCCCACCAGCAAUUUUUAGUACCGGUUCAUGGCAUGAAC